rnacentral:rRNA from 1 species
GAAGAAAGAGGGAGGCGUGCUUAACACAUGCAAGUCGAACGGAAAGGCCCUGCUUUUGUGGGGUGCUCGAGUGGCGAACGGGUGAGUAACACGUGAGUAACCUGCCCUUGACUUUGGGAUAACUUCAGGAAACUGGGGCUAAUACCGGAUAGGAGCUCCUGCUGCAUGGUGGGGGUUGGAAAGUUUCGGCGGUUGGGGAUGGACUCGCGGCUUAUCAGCUUGUUGGUGGGGUAGUGGCUUACCAAGGCUUUGACGGGUAGCCGGCCUGAGAGGGUGACCGGCCACAUUGGGACUGAGAUACGGCCCAGACUCCUACGGGAGGCAGCAGUGGGGAAUAUUGCACAAUGGGCGGAAGCCUGAUGCAGCAACGCCGCGUGCGGGAUGACGGCCUUCGGGUUGUAAACCGCUUUCGCCUGUGACGAAGCGUGAGUGACGGUAAUGGGUAAAGAAGCACCGGCUAACUACGU